CUUGAAAGAAGAAGAGGCGAUGACAGUGCGUAACACAUUUCGCAGUGACAUUGGAGAGGGUUCCAUUUUAUUAAUGACACCUGAAAGUUCCAUCAUCAUAAAUUCACCUAAAAACCACCAUAAUUGAAAGCCCUUGCCCACACAGAACACAUCUUUAGAAGUUCCGGACUGAUGAGAAAAUCUUUUCUAAAUUUGGCCAUUGCAGAAUCUGGGUACGAGGAUCUGCUCUAUACAGCUUGUUAACACUCCAGAUGAAGAAAAGGUGGUCUGUGAAUGACUCUGAGCCCUAAGGAGGAUAAACUUGUGAAGAAUGUGAAGAAGAGUGAGACCGAACAAGCCGCAGCAUGCCUAUUCAUGUACCUGCUCUGCAGUCGCAAAUCAAGAAGGUUUUGUGGAUUACCCCAGCUCCACGUCCAAGCAAUAAACUGUCCACCUCAUGUAAAA